CUUAUAGGUGGGGCUACACACGUCAUACAAUGGCUGGUACAAAGGGUUGCCAACCCGCGAGGGGGAGCUAAUCCCAUAAAGCCAGUCGUAGUCCGGAUCGCAGUCUGCAACUCGACUGCGUGAAGUCGGAAUCGCUAGUAAUCGUGGAUCAGAAUGUCACGGUGAAUACGUUCCCGGGUCUUGUACACACCGCCCGUCACACCAUGGGAGCGGGUCUCGCCAGAAGUAGGUAGCCUAACCGCAAGGAGGACGCUUACCACGGCGGGGUUCGUGACUGGGGCGAAGUCGUAACAAGGUAGCCGUAGA
rnacentral:rRNA from 1 species